rnacentral:rRNA from 1 species
AGUAACUGCGAGUGAAGCGGGAAAAGCUCAAAUUUAAAAUCUGGUGGUCUUUGGCCAUCCGAGUUGUAAUUUAGAGAAGCGUCUUCCGCGCUGGACCAUGCACAAGUCUCCUGGAAUGGAGCGUCAUAGAGGGUGAGAAUCCCGUCUUUGGCAUGGAACCCCCAGGGCUUCUGUGAUGCGCUCUCAAAGAGUCGAGUUGUUUGGGAAUGCAGCUCAAAAUGGGUGGUGAACUCCAUCUAAAGCUAAAUAUUGGCGAGAGACCGAUAGCGAACAAGUACCGUGAGGGAAAGAUGAAAAGCACUUUGGAAAGAGAGUGAAACAGUACGUGAAAUUGUUGAAAGGGAAACGCUUGAAGUCAGUCGCGUCGACCGAGACUCAGCCUUGCCUUGGCUUGGUGUACUUCUCGGCCGAUGGGUCAGCAUCAAUUUUGACCCUUGGAUAAUGGCAAGGGAAAGGUAGCACCUUUACAGGUGUGUUAUAGUCCUCUGUCGCAUGCAAGGGUUGGGAUUGAGGAACUCAGCAUGCACCUUGUUGGUGUCGGGGCCUUGGCCUACGUUACGUGCUUAGGAUGCUGGCAUAAUGGCUUUAAACGACCCGUCUUGAAACACGGACCAAGGAGUCUAACAUGCACGCGAGUGUUCGGGUGGAAAACCCGUGCGCGUAAUGAAAGUAAAAGUUGGGACCUCUGUCGUGGAGGGCACCGACGCCCGGACCAGACCUUCUGUGACGGCUCUGCGGUAGAGCGUGUAUGUUGGGACCCGAAAGAUGGUGAACUAUGCCUGAAUAGGGUGAAGCCAGAGGAAACUCUGGUGGAGGCUCGUAGCGAUUCUGACGUGCAAAUCGAUCGUCAAAUUUGGGUAUAGGGGCGAAAGACUAAUCGAACCAU